ACAGACACCGGUUCCCGUACGAUCACCGAAGUUAAGCAACGUUGAGCUUGCUCAGCACAUAAAUGGGUGGCCACGAGAGAAUACCAGUUGCUGUCAG